GUAUUGUCUUUUAAAAUGGUAGUAACUUCUUGUGACCAGCUUUUUCUCCUUUGAACUUGGCCUUGGAGGAGCUCCGACUUGGGACCUCAGACUGCUCUUGGAUCUUCCCUUUGGACUGCCACAUGGGAUGGAUUUGAUGAAAGCUCAAGAGAAGAGAGAUCUUGGAUUCUAGUUUCAAGAGAGAAGACAUGCAGUUUCAUACUUCAAGUUCCUGAAGGGAGAGGAAGACUGGAGAAAAGGUCAACAUGAGGAGAAGUCAUGAAAUUUUCCCUAUGCCCAGUUUAUCACAUUAAAGACUUUAGGAAAUUAUCCUUGAAAUUGUCUUGGUUGAA
rnacentral:lncRNA from 1 species